CAGCAGCCACGGUAAUACGUAGGUGGCAAGCGUUGUCCGGAAUUAUUGGGCGUAAAGGGCUCGCAGGCGGUUUCGUAAGUCUGAUGUGAAAGCCCCCGGCUCAACCGGGGAGGGUCAUUGGAAACUGGGAAACUUGAGUGCAGAAGAGGAGAGUGGAAUUCCACGUGUAGCGGUGAAAUGCGUAGAGAUGUGGAGGAACACCAGUGGCGAAGGCGACUCUCUGGUCUGUAACUGACGCUGAGGAGCGAAAGCGUGGGGAGCGAACAGGAUUAGAUACCCGCGUAGUCCCUGUCUCUUAUAC
rnacentral:rRNA from 1 species